AAGUCGUAACAAGGUUUCCGUAGGUGAACCUGCGGAAGGAUCAUUAACACGUAUCCAACGUUAAAACCCCCCGUGAACUUUCAAUCCUGCUCUUGUAACCCGCGUAGUUCGCAAUCUCUGGUAAAUCAUAGCCCGGAAAGUUGUUUUGAUUCAGAGACCUCUGGCUACGUGAGAACAAUGGAACAGAUAUCUUGGUUCUC
rnacentral:misc_RNA from 1 species